AGGUGCAGAAAAUGUACUGAAUACACAUUGUUCCAGGAUUUUCAUAUUGUUUGGCGGCAGAACAAAAGAUGGAAACCUAAUUUAAUGAAGAAAUACCAAAAGAUUAAUUUUGGCGACUAGCUUGGGUUUACGUGAAGAUUUUAGGCGACAAGUAAUAAGUCGCACGUAAUAGCUUUGGUGUUCCUCACGUAGGCGCGAUAAUAGCAUUAUUUCGCUAUGUUGACAAUGAAGGAAGAAGUGUAAACAGUGGUUGGCUGGUAUGUUAUAAUGUUUCGUUUCGUCAGAAAUGUGUGCAAUGUGAUGUUUAUAAACCGAUUUGAAUUUUAAAUGACGGCAAAUUUCCUUCCAAAUAAUGUGCUUAACCGAAUAUUAUGGCGUACUAUUGGUCUUAUCAAAUGCAUGACGUGUUAUUGAUGUGGGGCAGUGAAAGAGUGAUAGGUAACGGCAGGUCUACACGGCGUUGCGACUUUUCUGCGACCGGGUUUCCGGGAACACGGAAGUGCCAAAGUAAUAAACAAAAUUGCCUAAGUCGGCCAACUCGUACGUCAAAGGUGUUCAGAAGGCAGAAACUCCCGGUCGAAGGAUUAUCGCAGCCCCGUGUAGAACUGCGCUAAGGAAAAAGUGUUAGCUAAUGUGCAACGGAUAAUUUUACCAUUGUAAUUAAAGUUUCCAUGCUCGAGCCGACGACCAGCGUUUCAAUGUAAAAAAGUGUGAUAACAAGGGCUAAGGAUAUUUUGUUCACCGGUAAGUAGAAGAAGGUAGGUAAGUGUCAAUCAUCAUUACAUCCGGGUAUCAUUGGAAACACUUCAAAUUGAUGCGCAAUGCAAUCACAUUUUUAUUGUUCGGGUGCCAUAUUUAGCGCAUCAUAUUUACCAACAAAAAUUUAUCACUAAGAUGAAGAUAUAUGUAUCACUCGCGUUCAAUAAUUACAAAUUAUUCAUUUUUUUGGUAAAAGAGUAAAUGAGGCCCCGGGCUAGAUUCUCCUCUUCCUGCUGGUUCACAUUAAGCGCCUGAAGCUAUGCAAAGCGCGACACAUGCAUUCGUUUCGAAUUUUUGAACGCUAACGGUUCGCUUAAAAGACCAUAACGGUUUAAACUAAUCACGCAGUGGAGGUUGAAUGCUGGUUAAUAUACUUUUACAUGUUGAGUUACUAGUAAGUAAACUAUACCACACAUGAUGGACAGCAUCAAACAAUGAGUUUAGCCGAAGAAAUGAUUUGGAAACGGCGG